GAAUGUCUUUGAAUGUCUAUACAUGGGCUUCUAUGCCUAUGAAAAUCAUAAUACAACUUUCAGCAACGGAUCUCUUGGCUCUCGCAUCGAUGAAGAACGCAGCGAAAUGCGAUAAGUAAUGUGAAUUGCAGAAUUCAGUGAAUCAUCGAAUCUUUGAACGCAUCUUGCGCUCCUUGGUAAUCCGAGGAGCAUGCCUGUUUGAGUGUCAUUAAAUUCUCAACUCUCUUAUGCUGUUUUGUACAGGGGAGCUUGGAUUGUGGAGGCUUGCUGGCUGCUCGUUUGAGGUCAGCUCCUCUGAAAUGCAUUAGCGGAACCGUUUGCGAUCUGCCACAAGUGUGAUAAAUUAUCUACACUGGCGAGGGGAUUGCUCUCUGUGUUGUUC
rnacentral:rRNA from 1 species